UGCCCUGAGGUAUAAAUAUAAAAUUAUGAGUUUUGAGCUAAAAUAUUAAAACUGAAAAUAAUCUUGUAAUUGUAUGAAAUCCGUCAAAGAAUGUAAUUUAUAUUGUUGCUGAUAUUUAGGAUAUAUGUAGUAUUUCGUUGUAAACAAUGUCCACUUCUGUGAAAGAAUUUAGUAAAGUUUGGUGGACGGAAGUCUAUAACCGUAUUAUUGGUGCAGUCGUGAUCUUGGAUGAGUCUGCUGCAGAGUGUUUACAUUGGGACGGGGGGCUCUAUAACCUUCUCAAUGGUGGAGCUGUAGCUGUGAAUCGUCUAUCGCCAUUUCAGAGUUGUAAACCUGAGCAAAAGAAAGUGGUUUUCAUAACACAAACUACUCAAAUCCAACUACGUACGAUAAGUGAUAUUCUUCGUACCUGUGACUUCACACAUUGUAUACUGAUAUCCACUGUGAGCUUGGAUGUUGUGUACUUGGAACUCAAUGAUGGGCUGAAGAAUGCCAAUGAUGUGGUCGCAUCAGGGAAAGCCGGGAUGGAAGCUGUAAAGAUGUUGGAAAAGAUGCUUGUUGGGUGGAUGAAAGAAAAGCAACCUAUAACAGAAGUGGUAUAUAUCCCAAUAUUCACCAUAUCACCUACAAAUAAUGUAUUCCUCAUGCCGCCAUACCAAUACGUCUAUCCAAAGUUUGACAAAAAACUGAUAACUAGUGCGCCAACUUUAGAUUUAUACACCUUGAACAGUGACGAAAGGUCUGAGGUUCGGAGGUUGGCAAGUGCAUUGAACUCAAUGAUGCAAUCUAUGAAUAUGAGGGAAGACAUCUACCACAUUGGUCCUUUCAGUUCACUGAUUGCAGGCAUUUUGGAAAAUUCUCCUGUCUAUGUGUCUAGGAGGAAGAUGUGCACAAACCCAGUGUCACUGAUUUUUGUUGACCGCACACUUGACCUGUGCGGUGUGACCAGUCACUCCACAGAGUCAGUUCUUGACAAGGUGAUGGCCGUACUACCGAGGUUCCCUGGACACUGCACUGACGUUGCAGUGGACAUGUCUCCCCUUUGUGAAGCUAAAGUAGUAACACAUCCAAAUGACAUGCAGCUAAGUCCCGGUUGUCUGUACCACGCGGACGACGAGGCGAGCGUGCAGACGUACGACCACAUGAUCAACAAGUCACAGAAGGAGGUCAUGUUCGAUUUGCACAACAAGCUGUCCAAGCUCGAUGUUCAGAUGUCACCCGGACUGAAGACACUGUUGAAAGUUACUCCGCAGAGUGUCGAGAAGAUUAUUACUGCGUCUAAAGGUAAUUAUGACGUAAUAAGCAAGCAUUUGGGCAUUUUGCAACAAUCUCUGGGAGUCGUACAAGCUUUGAAAUCUCCAAAAGGAGUCCAAUUGGAGUUGCUAAGCAAUUUAGAGAAACAAGUGCUUCAGAGCAUAGCAGCUAGCAGGGAAUCUACCAGCAUACUGCAUCAGAUGAGGAUUAUAAUAAGGAGCCGCAAGGAGCGAAAACUAUCAAUCGAGAAUCUAUUGGCCCUUCUGAUCCACAUAUAUUCCUUGUCGGAUUCAGAGGUGAUAUUCAACAAGCAACAUGAAGAAAAUUUAGAACAAUCAUUGAUAAUGGCUGUCUUGGAAGAAUUCAAGACUCUAUUCGACGACAGGGAGCGUAACUACACACCGAAGGACUGCGAGAUGAAGGCUAAAGAAAUUAUGUGUUACUUGAAGGAAAUAUCGCAAAUGAGGAAGCCAAUACAGAGAUACCAUUCUGUACUGAAACCAUGCGACGCUGGCACGGGGCACGAGUACCGCGGAGUUCUCCAGCAGUUGGUGGACGAUCUGGUGAACACGGACCGACCAGAUCUGGUCGACCUGCAGCACAGGAACGACGGCAUCAAAGACCUGCUGCGGACUGGGCUGAACAUCCUAACAAGCAAGAGGAAGUCAUCAAAGCACCCGUUGGACAACCCAACGGUGCUUCUGUUCGUGGUGGGGGGUGUGACGGCGGAGGAGUGCAAGCAGCUGCACCGCAGCGUCAUCACCAGCGGCGUGGACACCGUGGUGCUGAUCGGCUCAACCAAGUUCGUGACCCCUGUGGAGGCCAUGAGGGACGUCUUCAACUUAUAGCGGCGGCGAUACCGCUUCUGGUAAUCUAUACACAGUGGCGGAUGGCUGAAGCUUGAGAAAAAAAGUUCAUCCUAACAAGCAAGAGGAAGUCAUCAAAGCACCCGUUGGACAACCCAACGGUGCUUCUGUUCGUGGUGGGGGGUGUGACGGCGGAGGAGUGCAAGCAGCUGCACCGCAGCGUCAUCACCAGCGGCGUGGACACCGUGGUGCUGAUCGGCUCAACCAAGUUCGUGACCCCUGUGGAGGCCAUGAGGGACGUCUUCAACUUAUAGCGGCGGCGAUACCGCUUCUGGUAAUCUAUACACAGUGGCGGAUGGCUGAAGCUUGAGAAAAAAAGUUGUAAGUAUUAUUGAGAGCCAAUAAUUAUUUAUUUAUAAUGUAUGCACUUUACAUUAUAAUACAAGUGCGAUAAGUAGAAAAUUAUCAAAGAGGCUGUAAUUGUCAAAGCGCACGUAUGUCGUACAACGUUUUAUAACACAUUUGAACACACUUUCUGAAAGUGAAUUUGCAUCUUUGCCUGUUUUCCAUAUGAUGACAUUUUGACAUGUUUGUCAUUUUUACACAGAUAGCAAAGUGCGAGCACCGGCGUUUUUUUAGGCAAAUGCACCAAAACAGCCAGUAAAUUAAUAUUUUUGUGUUACUGUUACAGAUAAAUCGUUGUCAUUUAUUGUCAAAAUUAUUAAAAUGAUAGAAUUAAAUGUUUAUUUAUUAUAUUUUAUUUUUAUCUUUACGUUAAGGCGCAUAUGUAUGUAUGAAUUUGUAUUUAUAUGUAUUAUAUUGUAAUAUAUUAUAUUCGUCAGCUAUGAAAAACGGAUUUUUGUGUUAAUGUAGAAAAAUGUUAUUAUUGGUGUCAAUUUAGAAGACAUCUUUGGUUAAUUAUGAAUUUGUGUUUAUAAUUAUAUGUAGGUAUUAUAUUGUAAUCUAUAUUCGUCAGCUAUGAAAAACGGAUUUUUGUGUUAAUGUAGAAGAAUGUAAUUAUUGGUGUAAAUUGGUGUAAGACAUUUGUGGUGUCUAUGUAGAAGACAUUUUUGGUGUCAAUGUAAAUAAAAAAAAGUAUCAAUGUUGAAGACAUUUUUGGUGUCAAUGUGUCAAUAAAAUUAUUGGUCUCAGUGUAAAAAUACAGAUUUUUGGUGUCAAUGUAGAAGACAUUUUUGGUAUCAAUGUAGAAGAUAUUUUUGGUAUCAAUGUAGAAGACAUUUGUGGUGUCAAUGUAGAAGACAUUUGGGUGUCAAUGUAGAAGACAUUUCUGGUGUCAAUGUAGAAAACAUGUUUGGUGUCAAUGUAAAAAAACAGAUAUAUGGUGUCAGCAGAAGGUUCAUAUUGUGUAAGAAAAAAGUAAAAAAAUUGCAUGGAACGUAUAACAUUAGAACUUUUAAUUAGAAAAAGGCCGAAUAUGACCAAUUUAAGAUGACUGUUCACUUCUUUUUAACUGGUUUUUUUAAUAAUUAAAUGGUUUGUGUUAUACAAUAGUACAAUAUCUAUAAAAUAAAAGCAAUUUCUAUUAUAUAUAAUGUCAUAUAAUAAAAAUAUUAGAAAGUCAUUUAUAGAACCUAGUCAUUAUUUAUGGGUUUUUAUUUGGAUUGGAAUUUGUUUUUUUUUUUACCAUUAAUGGGUAAAGUUAGACAUGAUUUGCAAAAAAGAAUUGUGUUAAAAACUUGUUUGUAAAUUAAUUUGUUUUGUUUGCGAUAUCUGCAGAGUUUUUGGGUGAAAUUACCACCAUGCACACUUGGAGAGUGGUGGGCUUAAGCUCUAAAUCUAUAUCCUUUCUCCUUUAAGGAUGCUUGGUUGUUGUGUUUUUAGUUUAAUUUUGUGACAUUCCAUAAUGUAAUAAACCAGACAUAUAUAACUAUCAUUGUAGAGUGCGCGCAAGAUAAGUCUGCGCGCGACUGGCGGCGCAAUUAUGUUGCUAGCGUUAGUGGUCUCUUUUACCCGCCAAGAGAUAGAUAGAGAUAGACCACAAGAUGGCGGCACUUUUGAUUAGUUCCGAUUUUGGCCACUAUAUAUUUAACUAUAUAAUCUGACGAUAUAUUUAUAUUAUAAAUUUAGUAGGUGUAUUAGACUAUGUCAAAACUAUAAUAAGUUCAACUAUACUAUGCACAAAAAUUAAGGGAGCAGAAAAAAAAUCAAAAUUUUUGGGGGAUUUUCAACAGGCUGUAACUUAUACAAAAAUGGUCGUACAGCAAAAAAAUAAAAAGCAAAUUGUAGCUCUAAGUGUUUAAUUUUUGGAUCUGAGUUUGAAAAUUUUUUUUUGAAAAUAUUUUUCGAGUAAUCAUAAGAAAACCACCGAAAAAAAAAUUUUCGAAUUUUUUUUGGUUUUUUUUUAAUCUACGGACGUGGAAAAAAUUUUUUCGACUCAACCUCCAUAUGGACCGGAUAGCUUGUUUAUUCAGAUUUAAUUUAGUUUUUUUUAAAUCUCGAUACGAGCAUUUCUCGCUGAGAUAUCGAUGUUUGAAUGGAAAAAGAUCAUUUUGUCUUUGAUUACGAAAAUUAAGAAUUUCGCUCUGAAAAUGUCAUAAUUUUUAUCAAAAAUGAAAAAAAUUUUUUUUUUUAAUUUUUCUCUCAAUUCUGUAUUAGUGACUUGAAAAAUUAAAGAAAAAAAAGAACAAUUUGCUUUUUAUUUUUUUGCUGUACGACCAUUUUUGUAUAAGUUACAGCCUGUUGAAAAUCCCCCAAAAAUUUGGAUUUUUUUUCUGCUCCCUUAAUUUUUGUGCAUAGUAUAUAUAUGUAUAUAUAUAAUCUAGUAUAUAGUAAUGAAUGUAAGAGUAUUUUAAGUAUUAGUAAUGCAAUGCAAUUACAAUGCUACUUAAGUCUUUAAUAUUAUAAUGGUACGUGUCGAUCUACGGGGUUAUGCUGUAAUUUAUUUAUUAUUUUAUCCACUCUAUGUUUGUCGAAGAUGUUUGUGAUCUCUUACUAUAUAAAUGUCUGAAAAUUGUAACACUCACCAUUGUCAAUAAUUCGUAUACACAGAAUAAAGGAUGACCCAGAAUGAUUCUUUACAAGCAUCGUGGUGAAGCCGGUGAAACCCAUAAAAACAAACGUCAGGUGUCUCCUUGACAUCCGCAUAUACAAACUUUUUUUCAUAAUUUGUAUUUCAAAAUUGAACAUUAACAACAAUUACUUAAAUUAACCUAUAAAAAUACUCCAUCGUAAUUCUUUACUUUUUGUGAACUGUUUUUAAAAUAUUUCAAAAUUUAUUUUUUUAUAAUAAUAUUGAAAAUCACUGAUGCGACGCUUCGUGUCGUACUGACUCGAGAAUUUAUUAGUUUUUGGAUUUUGUAUUUGAAACGGUUACGACACCAUCGUGUUCCGUGCGCUCUAUCUGCUAAAUAUUAUUCUUUAAUCUGUGUUUUUAUAUUUCUCAUUUAUUGCAAUAAUAAUUGUCAAGACACCAGUCUUACAAUGUUGCUUUACAAUAAUCAUCUUGUAGUUGCUAAAUGUAAGAAAAUAUACAGCAUAACCCUGUUGUGUAAUUGAUUUGAUGUUUGUUUGCUAGAUUUUAUUGAAUAAAUGCUUUGUUAUUGAUGUUAAAAA